rnacentral:lncRNA from 1 species
UUUAAUAAAAUUUUUUAAACCAGUUAAAAUAGUCUAAAUUACAGAAAACUUUUUUAUAGAUACCUUUUUUUUUAUUUUAUUUUUUAAAAAUCUAUAUUUCAUCAUUUCAAAAUUUUAAGUUGUUGUAUUUAGCUUUCUCUGUCGGGUUCUAUCAGUAUUUUAUUCAAUUUUAUAAUUUAGACUAAAAAUAUCAUUAAAAAUAACAAAAAUAUAUUAAAAAUUAUGUUUUUUAGAAAAAUAAGAAUAAUUUGAUUAUUUUGUCAUCUCCAUUAAAGCAGACUCCUUCUAAAAAUAUUUUUAAAAUUUUAAGGGGGUGAAUAUAUAUUUUUGAAAGCCAGGGAGAAAAAAGUAAAAAAAUGAGUAUUUACAGAAAAUUUUCUAUAAUUUAGCCUUAAAAGAAUUGUUUUUUGUAAAAAAU